UCGGCAGCCGCCACCCCAUUCGGCAGCGACAGCUGCUCCAGCUGCUCCGGGUGGAGCGCCCGAGCCCCGAGCCGUGGCUGCUUAGGGCGGCGGGCGGGCGGAGGGGAGCACCGGACCACCAGCGCGGGCAGCCGGGCCCGGGGGCAACCGCCCGCGGGAAACCGGGAAGCGGAGGGGCCGCAGAGGGACCGCCUGCAGCCAGGAGGAGAAGACCAGGGCUGGGCUUUCCUCACCCCGGUACUUUCUCAUCCUAUAACUUCAGUGUCCUGAAAUCUGAGGAUUCCACCAAGAUAAUAUGAUAGGAACUUUCAGUGACUUGGAGCCAUAUCCUACUUAGACUAAUGCAGUCCUUCCAGAUUUCCUGAGAGCUUGGUACAACAGCACUCGCUGUAACAGGCACAGGCAAUAAUGCCAUCUUUGCCUCAAGAAAGAGUCAUUCAGGGACCCUCUCCCCUGGAUCUGAGUACAGAAUUGCCUUAUCAAAGCACAAUGAAAAGAAAAGUCCGAAAGAAGAAAAAGAAGGGAACCAUUACAGCAAAUGUUGCCGGGACAAAGUUUGAAAUUGUUCGUUUAGUAAUAGAUGAAAUGGGAUUUAUGAAAACUCCAGAUGAGGAUGAAACAAGUAACCUUAUAUGGUGUGAUUCUGCGGUUCAGCAGGAGAAGAUUGCAGAGCUGCAAAAUUACCAGAGGAUCAACCAUUUUCCAGGAAUGGGGGAGAUCUGUCGAAAGGAUUUCUUAGCAAGAAAUAUGACCAAAAUGAUCAAGUCCCGGCCUCUGGAUUAUACCUUUGUUCCUCGAACAUGGAUCUUUCCUGCUGAAUAUACGCAAUUCCAGAACUACAUGAAAGAAUUGAAGAAAAAAAGAAAGCAGAAAACUUUUAUAGUAAAACCAGCUAAUGGUGCAAUGGGUCAUGGGAUUUCCUUGAUAAGAAAUGGUGACAAACUUCCAUCUCAGGAUCAUUUGAUUGUUCAAGAAUACAUCGAAAAGCCUUUCCUAAUGGAAGGUUACAAGUUUGAUUUACGAAUUUAUAUUCUGGUGACAUCGUGUGAUCCACUGAAAAUAUUUCUCUACCAUGAUGGACUUGUGCGAAUGGGAACAGAGAAAUACAUUCCACCUAAUGAGUCUAAUUUGACCCAGUUAUACAUGCAUCUAACUAACUACUCUGUGAACAAGCACAAUGAGCGUUUUGAAAGGGAUGAGACUGAAAACAAAGGGAGCAAACGUUCCAUCAAGUGGUUUACAGAAUUCCUACAAGCAAAUCAACAUGAUGUUGCUAAGUUUUGGAGUGAUAUUUCAGAGUUGGUUGUAAAGACUUUGAUUGUAGCAGAGCCUCAUGUCCUGCAUGCGUAUCGAAUGUGCAGACCUGGUCAACCUCCAGGAAGUGAAAGUGUCUGUUUCGAAGUCCUGGGAUUUGAUAUCUUGUUGGACAGAAAACUAAAGCCAUGGCUUCUGGAGAUUAAUCGUGCUCCAAGCUUUGGAACUGAUCAGAAAAUAGACUAUGAUGUAAAAAGGGGAGUGCUGCUAAAUGCACUAAAGCUACUAAACAUCAGGACCAGUGAUAAAAGGAGAAACUUGGCCAAACAAAAAGCUGAAGCUCAAAGGAGGCUUUAUGGUCAAAAUUCAAUAAAAAGGCUCUUACCAGGUUCCUCAGACUGGGAACAGCAGAGACAUCAGUUAGAGAGGCGGAAAGAAGAGUUGAAAGAGAGACUUGCUCAAUUACGAAAGCAGAUUUUAAAAGAAGAACAUGAAAAUCGGCAUAUGGGGAAUUAUAGACGAAUUUAUCCUCCUGAAGAUAAAACUCUGCUUGAAAAGUACGAAAAUUUGUUGGCUGUUGCCUUUCAGACCUUCCUUUCAGGGAGAGCAGCUUCAUUCCAGCGAGAGCUGAAUAAUCCUUUGAAAAGGAUGAAGGAAGAAGAUAUUUUGGAUCUUCUGGAACAAUGUGAAAUUGACGAUGAAAAAUUGAUGGGCAAAACUGCCAAGCCUCGAGGACCAAAGCCUCUAUCCUCCAUGCCUGAGAGCUCUGAGGUAAUGAAAAGACAGAAAUACUACAGCAGCGACAGCAGUUACGACAGCAGCCGCAGCGCUUCAGAACCCGAGGAUGAGAACGAAGAGUACCAAAAUAAGAACAGAGAAAAGCAAGUUACGUAUAACCUUAAACAGUCCAACAACUACAAAUUAAUUCAACAAUCCAGCUCCAUUAGGCGCUCAGUCAGUUGCCCUCGGUCCAUCUCUUCUCAGUCACCUUCCAGCGCGGACAGCCGCCCCUUUUCUGCGCAACAAGUGAUACCAGCAUCCCGGCCAACUUCAGGGUCCCGGUCACAUUCUUUAAACCGUGCCUCCUCCUACAUGAGGCAUCUGCCUCACACUAAUGAUGCCAGCUCUCCUAACUCUCAGAUGAGUGAGUCUUUGCGGCAACUGAGAACAAAGGAACAAGAAGACGAUCUAACGAGUCAGACCUUAUUUGUCCUCAAGGACAUGAAGAUCCGGUUUCCAGGAAAAUCAGAUGCAGAAUCAUUACUUCUGAUAGAAGAUAUCAUUGAUAACUGGAAGUAUCAUAAAACAAAAGUGGCUUCAUAUUGGCUCAUAAAAUUGGACUCUGUAAAACAACGGAAAGUUUUGGACAUAGUAAAAACAAGUAUUCGUACAAUUCUUCCACGUAUCUGGAAGGUACCUGAUGUCGAGGAAGUAAGUUUAUAUCGGAUUUUCAACCGGGUUUUUAAUCGCCUACUCUGGAGUCAUGGCCAAGGACUGUGGAACUGUUUCUGUGAUUCAGGAUCCUCUUGGGAGAGUAUUUUCAGUAAAAGCCCGGAGGUGAUGACUCCUUUGCAGCUCCAGUGUUGCCAGCGCUUGGUUGAACUUUGUAAACAGUGCCUGCUAGUGGUUUACAAAUACGCAACUGACUCAAGAGGAUCACUCUCAGGCAUUGGUACUGAUUGGGGUAAUUCCAGUUAGAGAAAAAGCUAAAGACCGAAAAUUCAUACAUGCUGUUAUCUACAAAAGACUUUUAAUUUGCACCAUCUUUACCUUUAAAGGACCAAACAAGGACAGCAACCACAAACCUGAAGGCAUGGAAGAAACUACUGGACUCUUUCCACAGAUGAGAAAACUGAAAACUGAGGCCCGAAGAGGUUAAAUGACUUCUCCAAAUCCACAUUGCUAGCUAUGGCAGAGGUGGGCCUUGAAACUAGAGCUUCCCGCAACCCCUAGCCCAAAUCAAAGUUAAAACAAUGGAAUGAUCCACACUCACUAGGAUGGCUAUUAUCCCCCAAAUGCAAAAUAAUGUGUCGGUGAGAAUAUUGAGAAGUUGGAAUCCUCGUGCACUGCACUCACUAUCUCAGAAUGUGAAAUGAUGUGGCUGCUAUGGAAAAGUUUGCUAGUUCCUCAAAAAGUUAAAUAUAGAAUUGCCGUAUGACCCAGCAAUUUCACUCCUGGGUAUAUACCCAAAAGAAUUGAAAACAAGGACUCAAACUGAUGCUUGUACAACAAUGUUUAUAGCAACAUUACUCACAAUAGCCGAAAGGUGGAAACUGUCCACCAACAGAUGAAUGGAUAAAUGCAAUGUGAUACAGACAUACAAUGCAAUAGUAUUCAGUCUAUAUAAAAGAAUAAAAUUCUGACACAUGCUACAACAUGGAUGAACCUUGAAAGCAGGCUAAUUAAAUAAGCCAGACACAAAAGGACAAAUAUGGUAUAUGAUUCCACUAUAUAUGAGGUAUCUAGAGAAGACAAAUUCAUAGAGACAGCAAGUAGAAUAGAGCUUACCAGGGAAUGGGGAGGAGGAAAUGGGGAUUUAGUGUUCGAUGGGCAAGGAGUUUCUGUUUGGGAUGAAAAAGAUUACACAGCAUUGUGAAUGUACUUAAUGCACUGAACUGUACACUUAAAAAUGAUAAAACUAGUAAGUUUCAUGCUAUAUAUAUUAUACCACAGUAGAAAAAAAUUUAAAACACACGAUAAAUAUUAUGAUGAACUUUAUUUACCUUUGUUCCCAAACCAGGAAGCUGAGUUUAUUUUGGGGGUAUCAGGGGUCCUCAUCUUACUCCAGGAAAAUCUCAGAAGGUAUUUAUUACCAGGAAGUACACAAUUCUUCAUGAGAACACCAAACUACACCUUGAAAUACAGUUCACCUGGAAUGACUCGCUCCAAUGUUUUGUUUACAUCCCGAUAUGGCCAUUUGUGAAACAGAAAGGAAGAUUGCCAUGGAUUAUGCAUAAUAGCAAUUCAUUUUUUUCCCUCCAAUGUAAACAUGCAAAGAAAGUGACCAUUAAGUGCUGUUUUAUGUAUAUAUGACAUAUAUGUGUGAAAAUAUAUACAUGUGCACUCAAAUAACAUAUAUAUUUAUUACCAUAUAUGAAAGAAGAGUUAGCAGAAAACUGGAUAUAAGACUUAACCUUUCUGGAAAUGUAAUAAACCAUUAAAUUGUUUACACAAAUAUGUGAACGUCUAGAAUUUGCUAGGUUUAUAAUUAAUACCUUCCUACUAGAAAUGUUAUUUUUGCUGCAGAGUAUAUAAAACAAAAUUGAUCUUGAAUAUCCCAUUUCAGUGUUAAAUUAUUUUCUAGAUAAUACUACUUUUGACUUGAAAAAGCAUUAAUAGUAUAAUACCUUAUUAAUUCUCUUAUAUAUAGUAGCCAUUUAAAAUGAAAAACAAAGCUAGAAGCCUGGUGUUGCUUGAUGAUAGGAUUAAAUAUAAAACGGGUUUAUCAUUACUGUAGCACACUUCAGAGUACUAUAAAAAUCUCAACCUGAUUUUCCCAAUGUUUUUAUUCCUCUAUGUGGAAAUUUAGCUACUUGUGAUAAUGUACAUUUUCAGUAAGGCUUUAGUAAGAUCAUAUAGUGAUCCAAAAUGGAAGACAAUCCAGUGGGUUACAAGUAAACAAAACGUAAACUAGCUUUUAUUUUCUACUUUUCAUUGGGAGUCACAUAAAGGAACAGAAAAUGAUGUUAAUAACAAAAUCUUUCCAUCUGAUUUUUGUAUCUCAUACCAUUCACUUUUAUUUGGAAAGUAUAUCUCCAGUGGGUGCGUAUGGUCAAAUACAAUUUCUUCUGUUCUUCAGAAGAAGAACAGUUGACAUUUCAAACUCAUUUUGGUGUUAUAGGAUAAUGUGUCAUACUUAUUUUAGAAGUCUCUUAAUGUUGAGACCAACUUACAUGGUAAAAUCUAAUACAGUUUCACAUUGCAGCAUAGAAAAUAAUCUAAUUAUUGCAAAUAGAAGAUUCUGAUUACUAGAUAUUAUUAGUCAUGGAUGUACCCUUGAGAAUUUUCUAAAAUCAAAACAGGAUGAAGUUUUCUUUGUGUCUGAAGUUAUUAUGCAUACAUUUCAUAGCAAUUUACUUCCUUUUCUUGCUUAUAGUUUCAAAAACAAUGAGUGAGCUUUCAGUUUUCCAUAAAAAUAUAAACAGCACUAUCACUGACAUGGAAAUCCUUAGAAAUUACAAUACUCAUCUUUUAGAAGUUUCUUUAAACUUCUCCCAACAAUCUUACUUUUUCACAGAUGCUAAUUAUUGGAAAAAUUUAGGAAUGUUUUACCUUUUACUGUCCUAGAAACUACUUCCAGUAAAUCAAGAAAUGGCCCCAAAGCAGGAGAACGGAGAGAAGCAAACUGUCCUAGUUUAAUUUGCAAAAAGGGUAAUUGGCAACCUAAAGUUGUAAGUUAGAUAUAUUUUGCUUUUAAAGCCAUAUUCUGAGGCUGUGACAGGCUAAGAUAGGUUUUUCCUUAAAUUAUCACUACUUGAUUCUUUAUGACUACCUAACAUCUAUAUUCCAAUAGAUACAUUUCCUUGCUAAAUGCAUCCCAAAGAAGAAUUUGUUAUUGUCUUUGGGGAAAAAGAGGAUAAGAUCAGGAUAAAAGGAAUUACAGUGUAACUCUGAAUGUUUGUGACUCCAUUUUGUGAAUUCUUAAAUAUUUUACAGAUUUCUUAGAAUAAAUAAUGCAAAAAUUGGGAUAUUGCAAAAUCAUUGUAAGAGUAAUAAACAAGUAGGUCUUUUCAUGAAGUAUUUUUAAUAAUGUUUCUUUUAAAUUCAUGAUUUGUCCAUGAAUGAGACAUAAUUUCAAGGGUCUGGUAUAUGAUUUCUAUCCAGUUUGUUGGUCACUCACUUGCAUUAAUUUAAAUCAAAAUGGUUAGUAUGCUAGAGUAGGUGCUUUGGGACUUCUGUCUUUAUUGAUAGAAGAGUGAAAUUUGUAUUUAAAACAAAAAAGAAGAAUGUUCAACAUGGGGAUGAACCCUCUCCCCCCAGAAAACACACACACACACACACACACACACACACACACACACACAAUUUAAGAACCUUUGAAAAAUAAGUUAAAAUGUGUGAAACUACCUAACUAAUUAAUGAACAAAUUUCAUUUAUCUAGCUACUUAGAUCUGGCUUUUUUUGAGCGCUAGAGUUUUCUUGCUGACAUUUGCAUAUUUAUACUGAUCUAGUUUGAUGUGAUUAAAUCGUGAAUAAAAGCCAUGUGCUCAUUAUUUAUAUAUACUACCUGGUAUGCUGUGGACUAUGGUUGCUAUAAGUGCUUAUUCCCUAAUGAGAAACUAAGAAGAGAAGAUUCAGUAGUAAACCAUGAAAGUCUCUAGAGGCCGUAGCAAUGUUUUAGAGGUAUAAAAUAUUCCUUAGUUUUUAUUAUAAAUUUUUUAUUGAUAAGGUGGAAACAUAUCAACAUAAGUGAUAGUACGGGUCUGAUUCUCUCUUCUAGGAGAGAAACUAACUUUAUUUGAAAAACUUCAGAAGUUAUUCGAUGUUACCAGGAGUUUUUAAUAGGGAAUUUGGUUUACUUAAGAUGAAAGUGUAUUUUCAUUCUGUUGUAAAAAAACAUAUCCCUACUCAUUCUGUAAAUCUAAGAUUAGAAUGCUUUCCAGAACUGUAUAUGAUUGCAAUGAUUUCCAGAAUUAUAUAAAAAAGCAACCUUUAUUUUAAAUCUCAUCUAUGAACAUGGUAUGAGAUGGCAGAUUUGUUUUCACUUUAAUUAUCCAGCAUUGUAAUUAGUUACCAUUUGCUUUAUGUAAUCUGUUGAAGGAACUAUUGUGAUUCAUAUUAUGUUUAUUUUUACUAGCAACAAAUUUUAGUUUACUAGCAUUUCACUUACCUUGCAUGUAUAAAAACGAAGUUAUAACAGGAUCAAAUAUGGAAAUAACCUCUGCCAGACGCAAAGAUUUAUACAGAUUUUUUUCAUAUGUCUAACUUAGGUCUAAAUACACAAAAAUUGCCUACUAAUUCCUCCUCCCCAAAACUAAAAUGAACCAAACUCAGACAAACAAACAAAAAAACACAACUUUCUUUUCAUGUAAUAUUUACUAGCAACUAGUUGAUAGAGGCUUCUAGACAUUAAGGACUUCAUUCUAAUUCUCUUUUUAAUUUGGAAAGCAUAUGAUUAUAGAAUUUUGUUAUCUAACUUGAAAUUUCACAUGUUAAUAUAAAUUCAUCCAAAUGCUUUCAUCUUUAGCAUGUCAAAGCCAUUCUACAUAAAAAUUCUUUUUAAAUCUGAAUAUACACAUAUUUGACCUUUUCAAAUGUACCAAAAAAUUGAUAGUUGCAUAAACUCUAUUAUUUCUAGGUUUCUGCAAAGCACUGAUUCAUUCUUAAAUGUGUUCUCUUUAAAACAUAAUAUCAAAUACCUCUAGAUGAGUGACAGAAAAUUCCUUCCUUUUCUGUUCUGUGAUGAUAAUUUACAUUUUGAGUCUUAGUUUACCUGGUUCUAAGGGUUAAGCAAUAAAAAGUGUAACCUCAGUUAGUUGUGUUGCUGUGAUCUAAUGAUUUUUGAAAAUUGGCUUUUCUCUUUAAAUUGAGAAACUUAUGUUUUCAAGUUCUGAAUUAGUUACCUAAAUAUUUUGGGUUAAUAUUAUUUACAAAUAAAUAAAAAAUUUGGAAAUACACGCAUGAUCAAAAUUUUAUUCCUUACACAGCUUUUUCUCUCUUCCUUUUUUCCUUCCUUCACCUCCUCUUCUUCUUCUUCACUUUAACCCUUUGAAGUUUUGACCUUUGAUGGACAAAGUCCAGAAAGGAUCAAUCCUGCCUUUUAGAUACUGGUUUUCCUUGCAUUUUAUGGUGGUAUAUUUUUACCUCAGAAACAAUAAAACUUAGAUAAAAUGUGUUAUUAGAUCAAGUUCAGUUUGUCUGCGGGGACUUUUAAGAACCAAGUUUCUAUGCCUAAAAAAACAUAUGUCUAGACUAUUUGAACCACGAUACAUGGCUACAAAUAACAGUCUUGCAACCCAAAAGUGGUAUAUUAAAACUUACUGCAGUCUUUGAGAUUGCUGCCCUUUUUGGUGAUUUUUUGCCUUGUCAUAAGUGGGUAUAUGGUAUAUUGAAGAAAAACUAUUCAGGGAACAUAUUUUGCAUUAACUGGGCUGUAUUAUCUAAGAAGGGCUACAUAAAACUUUUAUUUUAUCCCCACCACUAACUUGAAAACUAUUGGUACAGUCAUUGCUCAAUAGACUAAUAUUUUUUAAGUUAAUACGAAGACUUGCAAAAGUAAUCAGAUAAUGCUGAUAUUUUUCUUUCAAAGGUUAACAAUGGCAGUUCUUGGUCCUGAGCUGGUUGGUUCAUAUAAUUACCACUGUCCGUGCUACAAUAUCGACUAUUAAUAGAUCUGUUGAUUCCGGGUUUCAAGAUUAGCUUGAAAGCAAUACAUUUGCUACCAUGAAUCAUGACUCAAAUUAUCCCCAUGUGUUUACUUACCUGUAUAUGAAUGCAAAUGUUGUUACAGAAAAUAUGCUUGAAAUGUCAACACAGUGUGCAGUUAAUAUUGCAUUGUCAUGCUUCAGCAUGUGAUAUCUGUAUGGUGAAGUUAUUUCAAUUACUAUAAUAAAAAAUGUUUAACAUAAGAAAGCAA